GCCCAAUCCCUAGCUCAGCCCUCCCCCCCAACAGCCAAACCAAACCAAACCAAACCAUUUGCCAACCUCAGUAUAUGAGAUAGAACAGCCCACCUGACGCAACAGCAAACCCGUACCACAAGGAAUCAGUGAAAGAAACCCAACCAGCCAAAGCACAAAAAAGCAGGGAUGCCCCCCCGUACCUUCUGCAUAAUGGUCUAGCAAGCAUAAACAGAUAAAGAGAACUACAACCUGCCCACCCGAACCCAGACGAGCUACCCCGAGGCAGUCAAAAGGACCAACCCAGCCCUGUGGCAAAAGGGCGGGACGACCUUCGGGUAGAGGUGAAACACCUACCGAGCCUGGCAAUAGCUGGUUGCUCACUAAAUGAAUUUAAGUUCAACUCUAGUGCCAACAAGUACUAAAAAAUACCAACACUAGAAGAUAUGCCCCAGAGGACCAGCUCUAGGGCAACUGGAUACAGCCAAAACUAGCGGGCCCAAAACUUCACUCCCCUCCCCCGUAGGCCCUCAAGCAGCCACCAACAACAACCGCGUCAAAGCAACAGACAUGCCAACCCAUACCUAACUCCACACCCCCUACUACAAACUGAGCCAUCCCAUCCAACCAUGGGAGCACUACUGCUAAAACUAGUAAUAAGAGCCACACUCUCACUGCACCAGCCUAACAAAAAUUACCAACCAAAAUACCCACAAACCAAGACCACCUAUCCUACUUGCCUGUAAACCCGACACAGGUGUGCACCACAAGAGAUUAACCGCCCCAGAAGGAAUUCAGCUAAUAUACCCCACCUGUUUACCAAAAACAUCGCCUUUAGCCCCAACAAGUAUUAAAGGUCCCGCCUGCCCAGUGAAACACCUUCAACGGCCGCGGUAUCCUAACCGUGCAAAGGUAGCGCAAUCACUUGUCCCUUAAAUGAGGACUAGUAUGAACGGCUAACUGAGGGUACACCUGUCUCCUGAGGCCAAUCAAUGAAACUGAGCCUCCAGUACAAAAGCUGGAAUAUACACACAAGACGAGAAGACCCUGUGGAGCUUUAACCUUCGCCACUACCUGACACCCCGCCCCACAAUUGUGGGCCCAAACCACAUCAAAAUAGUGGCCACUUUAAGUUGGGGCGACUAUGGGGUAAAACUAAACCCCCAUGAAACAAGACUAACCCCCCUCAAAGGCCAACAUGCCAACAAGCCCCCGCACCCGACCCAGAUUUAAACUGAGCAACGAACCAAGUUACCCCAGGGAUAACAGCGCCAUCCCCCUUCAAGAGUCCAUAUCGCCAGUGGGGUUUACGACCUCGAUGUUGGAUCAGGACACCCCAGUGGUGCAGCCGCUACUAAAGGUCCGUUUGUUCAACGGUUAAUGUCCUACGUGAUCUGAGUUCAGACCGGAGCAAUCCAGGUCGGUUUCUAUCUGUGCCAUAUCUUCCUCAGUACGAAAGGACCAAGAAGACAGUGCCAAUGCGCCCCGCACGCACUGCCAACACAAUUGAACUAAAAUUAAACUGAUAUCAGACACCCCGUGUCCGAUAUAAGGACUA
rnacentral:rRNA from 1 species